rnacentral:rRNA from 1 species
AAAGCGGCACGCGAGCUGGGUUCAGAACGUCGCGAGACAGUUCGGUCUCUAUCCGUCGUGGGCGCAGGAAGAGUGAGAGCCGUCAUCUCCAGUACGAGAGGACCGAGAUGGCGUGACCGCUGGUGUGCCAGUUGGGGGGCCUCCCCCAUCGCUGGAUAGCUACGUCACGAAAGGAGAAGCGCUGAAGGCAUCUAAGCGCGAAGCCGCCCUCAAGAUGACUCUUCCCAUCUCUCCGUCCGGGGGGAUGAAGGUCCCAGCAAGACGAGCUGGUCGAUAGACCGCAGGUAUACGCCUGGUAACAGGCUGAGCCAAGCGGCCCUAAUGACCCAACGGCUUGUCAUU